rnacentral:rRNA from 1 species
UACAGAGGUCCCAAGCGUUGUUCGGAUUCAUUGGGCGUAAAGGGUGCGUAGGCGGCGCGGUAAGUCGGGUGUGAAAUCUCGGAGCUUAACUCCGAAACUGCAUUCGAUACUGCCGUGCUUGAGGACUGGAGAGGAGACUGGAAUUCAUGGUGUAGCAGUGAAAUGCGUAGAGAUCAAUGAGGAAGACCAGUGGGCGAAAGGCGGGUCUCUGGACAGU